CGCUGAUGGCAGAUGAUCGCUGCCCCGAAGACAUUCGGGGUAGAGGAAAGUCCGAACACCAUACGGCAGCAUGCCGCGUAGAAGACGCGGGCGUCGCAGUUGCAAAAUUGCGGCGACGGAAAGUGUCGCAGAAAAGACACCGCCGGUUCUUUGAAAGAAGCACAGGUAAGGUUGAAAUGGCGAGGUAAGAGCUCACCGCGCGCGGAGUAAUUCGCGCGGCAGGAAAAACCCCAUGCGGUGCAAGACAAAACAGAGGGAGGGCCGCCGGUCCGCUGAUCCUCGGGUAUCGUCGCAUCACGGCGCGUGCAAACGCGUCGGGCGGCUCACGCGAGUGAGUUGAGAUAAAUGAUCAUCCGUUCGAGCAAUCGAGCGACAGAAUUCGGCUUACCGCCAUCGAUAU
rnacentral:RNase_P_RNA from 1 species